AACGAACGCUGGCGGCAUGCCUAAUACAUGCAAGUCGAACGAGACAUUCGGGGCUAGUGGCGCACGGGUGCGUAACGAGUGGGAACUUGCCCUUAGGUUCGGAAUAACUCCCCGAAAGGGGUGCUAAUACCGGAUAAUGUCUUAGGACCAAAGAUUUAUCGCCUUUGGAUGGGCCCGCGUUGGAUUAGCUGGUUGGUAGGGUAAAAGCCUACCAAGGCGACGAUCCAUAGCUGGUCUGAGAGGAUGAUCAGCCACACUGGGACUGGGACACGGCCCAGACUCCUACGGGAGGCAGGAGUGGGGAAUAUUGGACACUGGGCGAGAGCCGGAUCCAGCAAGGCCGCGUGAGUGAGGAAGGCCUUAGGGUUGUAAAGCUCUUUUACCCGUGAUGAUAGUGACGGUACCGGGAGAAUAAGCUCCGGCUAACUCCGUG
rnacentral:rRNA from 1 species